GAUGAACGCUGGCGGCGUGCCUAAUACAUGCAAGUCGAGCGAACAGACGAGGAGCUUGCUCCUCUGACGUUAGCGGCGGACGGGUGAGUAACACGUGGAUAACCUACCUAUAAGACUGGGAUAACUUCGGGAAACCGGAGCUAAUACCGGAUAAUAUAUUGAACCGCAUGGUUCAAUAGUGAAAGACGGUUUUGCUGUCACUUAUAGAUGGAUCCGCGCCGCAUUAGCUAGUUGGUAAGGUAACGGCUUACCAAGGCAACGAUGCGUAGCCGACCUGAGAGGGUGAUCGGCCACACUGGAACUGAGACACGGUCCAGACUCCUACGGGAGGCAGCAGUGGGGAAUCUUCCGCAAUGGGCGAAAGCCUGACGGAGCAACGCCGCGUGAGUGAUGAAGGUCUUCGGAUCGUAAAGCUCUGUUAUUAGGGAAGAACAAAUGUGUAAGUAACUAUGCACGUCUUGACGGUACCUAAUCAGAAAGCCACGGCUAACUACGUG
rnacentral:rRNA from 1 species